GUGCUGGCUUCGGGAGCACAUAUACUAAAAUUGGACCGAUUAAAGAGAAGACCAGCAUCACCCCUGCGUAAGGAUGACAGGCAAAUUUGAGAAGUGUUCCAUAUUUUU